CCCCGCCGAAUUGUAGUCUAGAAAGGCGCCAUCGGCCGCGUCCGUCGCUCAAAUCCCUUGGAACAGGGUAUCGGAGAAGGUGAGAGUCCUGUACCGUGGCGGAUCGCGGCCGCACGAUGCGUUUUUGCAGAGUCGGGUUGCUUGGGAUUGCAGCUUGAAUUGGGUGGUAAAUUCCAUCUAAAGCUAAAUACUGGUUCAUGACCGAUAGCGAACAAGUACCGUGAGGGAAAGAUGCAAAGAACUUUGAAAAGAGAGUUAAAGAGUGCUUGAAAUCGGUGAGAGGAAACCCGUUUGUGCCCGGUUUCGCUGUGUCAAUUCAGCCGUUUCGCAUCGGUGCACUUUGGCAUAGCGGGUCAUCCGCGAUUUCUGCUGCGUCACACCCGCCUUGGGGGCUUCGGUGAGCCAGGUCUUUGACGCGGCGGGGAUGUCGGCUGACGGAACGGGCACAACCGACCCGUCUAGAAACACGGACCAAGGAGUCUGACACGGAUGCGAGUACCCGGGUGGCAAGCCCGCGUGCGCAAUGAAAGUAAAGGGCGUGCCCCGCCAACCGACCUUGAUCUUCUGUGAAGGGUUUGAGUCGAGCAUCACUGUCGGGACCCGAAAGAUGGUGAACUAUGCCUGAAUAGGUUGAAGUCUGCUGAAAGGCAGAUGGAGGACCGUAGCGAUACUGACGUGCAAAUCGUUCGUCGAAUUUGGGUAUAGGGGCGAAAGACUAAUCGAACCAUCUAGUAGCUGGUUCCCUCCGAAGUUUCCCUCAGGAUAGCUUGGACGCAAGGGUUUUGU
rnacentral:rRNA from 1 species